GUGCUUGCUUCGGCAGCACAUGUACUAAAAUUGGAACGAUACAGAGAAGAUUAGCAUGGCCCCUGCGUAAAUACACUGUAGCACCAAAACUUCCUCCUUUGU
ensembl:snRNA U6 U6 spliceosomal RNA